rnacentral:misc_RNA from 1 species
AAGUCGUAACAAGGUCUCCGUAGGUGAACCUGCGGAGGGAUCAUUACCGAGUGAGGGCUCACCGCCCGACCUCCAACCCCAUGUCAUCCGACUCUGUUGCCUCGGGGGCGACCCGGCCUUCGGGCGUCGGGGCCCCCGGCGGACCACGAAACACUGCAUCUUUGCGUCUGAGUACUAUUUUAAAUCAAUUUAAAACUUUCAACAACGGAUCUCUUGGUUCUG